rnacentral:rRNA from 1 species
GCUUACGGCCACACCGCCUGGUUCAGCCUGAUCUCGUUGAUCUCGGAAGCUAAGAUAGGUUGGGCCUGGUUAGUACUUGGAUUGGAGACCGCCUGGGAAUACCAGGUGCUGUAACGC